AUAUUCGGCAUUGCUUAGUACGGCGAGUGAAGCGGCAAAAGCUCAAAUUUGAAAUCUGGCACCUUCGGUGUCCGAGUUGUAAUUUGAAGAAGGUAACUUUGGAGUUGGCUCUUGUCUAUGUUCCUUGGAACAGGACGUCACAGAGGGUGAGAAUCCCGUGCGAUGAGAUGCCCAAUUCUAUGUAAAGUGCUUUCGAAGAGUCGAGUUGUUUGGGAAUGCAGCUCUAAGUGGGUGGUAAAUUCCAUCUAAAGCUAAAUAUUGGCGAGAGACCGAUAGCGAACAAGUACAGUGAUGGAAAGAUGAAAAGAACUUUGAAAAGAGAGUGAAAAAGUACGUGAAAUUGUUGAAAGGGAAGGGCUUGAGAUCAGACUUGGUAUUUUGCGAUCCUUUCCUUCUUGGUUGGGUUCCUCGCAGCUUACUGGGCCAGCAUCGGUUUGGAUGGUAGGAUAAUGACUAAGGAAUGUGGCUCUACUUCGGUGGAGUGUUAUAGCCUUGGUUGAUACUGCCUGUCUAGACCGAGGACUGCGUCUUUUGACUAGGAUGUUGGCAUAAUGAUCUUAAGCCACCCGUCUAAAAAAAGGGACCAAAAAAAAACGCCGGCUGGAAAAUAAAAAUUAAAAA
rnacentral:rRNA from 1 species